rnacentral:rRNA from 1 species
UGGGGAAUAUUGGACAAUGGGCGAAAGCCUGAUCCAGCAAUGCCGCGUGAGUGAUGAAGGCCUUAGGGUUGUAAAGCUCUUUUACCCGGGAUGAUAAUGACAGUACCGGGAGAAUAAGCUCCGGCUAACUCCGUGCCAGCAGCCGCGGUAAUA